rnacentral:misc_RNA from 1 species
UUUCCGUAGGUGAACCUGCGGAAGGAUCAUUACCGUGUGAAUGCGCUGGGGGUAACCCCCUCAGCUCGCACACCCUUUGUGUACCUCUCUGGUUGCUUCGGCAGGCCGUGGCCUUUUGGGGCUACCAUCGCCUCUGCGGGUGAUGCGUGUCUGCCGGAAGACUGAUAAACUCUGGCUUUUGCAGUGAUGUCCGAGCCUCAAUUUUGAAUAAUCAAAACUUUCAACGAUGGAUCUCUUGGUUCCAGCAUCGAUGAAGAACGCAGC